AGGAGGACGCCGAAGGUGGGGCUAAUGACUGGGGUGAAGUCGUAACAAGGUAGCCGUACCGGAAGGUGCGGCUGGAUCACCUCCUAACAGGGAGACAACAAAAUGUAAAUAUUAAUUUUGUCACCUUAGGUCGAUCGGUAUCUCAGAUUCUUAUUUUUUAAGAAUUUCAGUUUCUAAGUUUUUUCUAGGUCACACCCAUCACUUUUUCCUGGGCCAUUAGCUCAGGUGGUUAGAGCGCACCCCUGAUAAGGGUGAGGUCCCUGGUUCAAGUCCAGGAUGGCCCAUAUCUCUAUGUUGGGGGUAUAGCUCAGUUGGUAGAGCGCCUGCUUUGCAAGCAGGAUGUCAGCGGUUCGAGUCCGCUUACCUCCACUGAAUACCACCUCUUACAUAUAUUUAAAGAGGGAAAUUGUUUUGAGUCGUGUCCUAAUUUGCUCUGAGCGAAUCUAGCUUCCUAUUUUAUUUAAUAAAUAAGAUGCUGGACUCAUUGAUUUUUUUCACUGUUUUCAGAGAACCUUGACAACUGCAUAGAUUAUUUUUGAAGACAAUAAGCAUCUUUAAUGAUGCAGAUUUAUUAUUUGUGCGAAUGCAUUAAAUAACAAUUCUAUUAAGCUGAUGCUUCAAUUAUUGAAGUUAUUGGUCAAGCUACAAAGGGCUCACGGAGGAUACCUAGGCACAC
rnacentral:misc_RNA from 1 species